rnacentral:rRNA from 1 species
UGGGGAAUAUUGCACAAUGGGCGCAAGCCUGAUGCAGCCAUGCCGCGUGUGUGAAGAAGGCCUUCGGGUUGUAAAGCACUUUCAGCGGGGAGGAAGGCGUUAAGGUUAAUAACCUUGGCGAUUGACGUUACCCGCAGAAGAAGCACCGGCUAACUCCGUGCCAGCAGCCGCGGUAAUACGGAGGGUGCAAGCGUUAAUCGGAAUUACUGGGCGUAAAGCGCACGCAGGCGGUCUGUCAAGUCGGAUGUGAAAUCCCCGGGCUCAACCUGGGAACUGCAUUCGAAACUGGCAGGCUAGAGUCUUGUAGAGGGGGGUAGAAUUCCCGGUGUAGCGAUUAAAUGCGUAGAGAUCUGGAGGAAUACCGGUGGCGAAGGCGGCCCCCUGGACAAAGUCUGACGCUCAGGUGCGAAAGCGUGGGGAGCAAACAGG